rnacentral:rRNA from 2 species
UAGGGAAUCUUCCACAAUGGACGCAAGUCUGAUGGAGCAACGCCGCGUGAGUGAAGAAGGUUUUCGGAUCGUAAAGCUCUGUUGUUGGUGAAGAAGGAUAGAGGCAGUAACUGGUCUUUAUUUGACGGUAAUCAACCAGAAAGUCACGGCUAACUACGUGCCAGCAGCCGCGGUAAUACGUAGGUGGCAAGCGUUGUCCGGAUUUAUUGGGCGUAAAGCGAGCGCAGGCGGAAUGAUAAGUCUGAUGUGAAAGCCCACGGCUCAACCGUGGAACUGCAUCGGAAACUGUCAUUCUUGAGUGCAGAAGAGGAGAGUGGAAUUCCAUGUGUAGCGGUGGAAUGCGUAGAUAUAUGGAAGAACACCAGUGGCGAAGGCGGCUCUCUGGUCUGCAACUGACGAUGAGGCUCGAAAGCAUGGGUAGCGAACAGG